rnacentral:rRNA from 1 species
AGGACGAACGCUGGCGGCGUGCUUAACACAUGCAAGUCGAACGAUGAUGCCCAGCUUGCUGGGUUGAUUAGUGGCGAACGGGUGAGUAACACGUGAGUAACCUGCCCCUGACUUCGGGAUAACGCUGGGAAACUGGUGCUAAUACCGGAUAUGACGCAUCCUCGCAUGGGGGUGUGUGGAAAGACUGUGUCGGUUGGGGAUGGGCUCGCGGCCUAUCAGCUUGUUGGUGGGGUGAUGGCCUACCAAGGCGUCGACGGGUAGCCGGCCUGAGAGGGUGACCGGCCACACUGGGACUGAGAUACGGCCCAGACUCCUACGGGAGGCAGCAGUGGGGAAUAUUGCACAAUGGGCGCAAGCCUGAUGCAGCGACGCCGCGUGAGGGAUGACGGCCUGGUGUAACUCUUACUAGUAGGAGAAGACGUUCGGUCGUACGGUACGUGUCAGAAGAAGACGCGGCGAACUACGUAGACAGCGAG